rnacentral:rRNA from 1 species
CAGUUCGGAUUGUAGGCUGCAACUCGCCUACAUGAAGUCGGAGUUGCUAGUAAUCGCGGAUCAGAAUGCCGCGGUGAAUGCGUUCCCGGGUCUUGUACACACCGCCCCGUCACACCAUGGAAGGUUGGGGGCGCCCGAAGUUGCCUAAGAAAUAAGGUACCUAAGGCGAAACCAAUGACUGGGGUGAAGUCGUAACAAGGUAGC